rnacentral:rRNA from 1 species
UCCCGUUGAUCCUGCGGGAGACUACUGCUAGAGGGGUUGGUUAAUCAUGCAAGUCUAUGCUUCGGCAUGGCGGAAGGCUCAGUAACACGUCAGUAAUCUGCCCUUAGGUACGGCAUAACCUCGCGAAAGUGAGGGUAAUUCCGUAUAGUCGAUGCCUACUGGAAUGUGGCAUCGUUUUAAGCUUCGGCGCCUAAGGAUGAGCUGGCGGCAGAUUAGCUUGUAGGUGGUGUAAUGGACCACCUAGGCGACGAUCUGUAGGGGGGAUGAGAGUCCGAGCCUCGAGAAGGACACUGAGACAAGGGUCCUAGCCCUACGGGGUGCAGCAGAUACGAAGCCUCUACAAUGCACGCAAGUGUGAUAGGGGGACCCCUCGUGCAUGCGUUAAACGUAUGCUUUUAUCAAGUGUAAGUAGCUUGGUGAAUAAGUGGUGGGCAAGACCGGUGCCAGCCGCCGCGGUAAUCCCGGCGCCACAAGUGGUAGUCACGUUUAUUGGGCUUAAAGCGUCCGUAGCCGGACAGCUAAGUUUUUAGUUAAAUCCAGCGGCUUAACCGUUGGCUCGCUAGAAAUACUGGUUGUCUUGGGGCCGGGAGAAGUUGGAGGAAUGCCAUGGGGAGCGGUAGAAUGUUAUAAUCCAUGGUGGACCAUCAGUGGCGAAGGCGUCCAACUAGAACGGGUCCGACGGUCAGGGACGAAAGCUAGGGGAGCAAACCGGAUUAGAUACCCGGGUAGUCCUAGCCGUAAACGCUGCCUGCUAGGUAUUGUGUGUCUUUCGUGGAUGUGCAGUGCCGUAGGGAAACUGUUAAGCAGGCCGCCUGGGAAGUACAGUCGCAAGGCCGAAACUUAAAGGAAUAGGCGGGGGAAUACUACAAGGGGUGCUUGCUGCGGUUUAAUUGGAUUAUACGCCAGGAACCUUACCAGCGGCGACAGCAGAAUGAAGGUCAACCUGAAUGGUUUACUCGACGCGCUGAGACGUGGUGCAUGGCCGCCGUCAGUUCGUGCCGUGAGGUGUUCGGUUAAGUCCGAGAACGAACAAGACCUGCGUCUUCAGUUGCUACCGGCUUUUUUCGAGGUCGGGCACACUGAAGAGACUGCACGCGUAAGUGUGAGGAAGGUGCAGGCCACGGUAGGUCUGUAUGCCCGGAAUCCGUUGGGCUACACGCGGCAGGCAAUGGUUGGUACAGCGGGAUGCGACUCCGAGAGGAGAAGCCAAUCCCUUAAAGCUAAUCCUGUUUGAAUCGAGGGCUGCAACUCGCCCUCGUGAAAGCGAAAUCCCUAGUAAACGCGUGUUAGCAUCGCGCGUUGAAUGUGUCAAUGUCCCUUGCACUCACUGCCUGUCAAAUCAUCCAAGUUGGGUUUGGAUGAGGCUUUGUCGUUUGGCAGAGUCGAAUCUAGGCUCGAUGAGGAAGGUUAAGUCAACACAAGGUA